AAGAUUUAUGGAAAAUAUUGGACGAUAGAGAACCAGAUGAAGAACUAGAGCACCUGGUUGGAUUUGGUGAGAAUUUGGCCAGCGUUGAACCAUUUAUGAGAGUUGACUCACAAGAAGUUCAGCUUCUUGGAAUUUGGGGCAUGGGAGGGGCAGGGAAAACAACGCUGGCUCGUGCUGUGUUUCGCAAAUUUUUUCCCCAAUUUGAUAGCUAUUGCUUUGUGGGAAAUGUGAGAGCAGAAUCAAAAAGCACUGGAUUGUGUAAUUUGCUUAAUAAAAUUCUUUCUGUACAACUGAAUAAAGAAAAUCUUGAAAUGGGAGGAGGACAUGACACGGUACCUGCAAAAAGGCGACGUGGAAUAAGAGCUCUUCUUGUGUUUGAUGAUAGAUCGAGAGAGCUAGAUAUCUGGGUCCUUGCUUGUCUCCCGUCGCGUUUCUGCUUCCUCCCCUCUCGAUCGUCGGUCACCGUCGUCUGUGUAAGUCUCUAUCACCGGUGCCUGCUGCUAUUUCGUCCGCUGUAGCUGUGAGAUUUCUCUUCCUAUCUCACCACUCCUCCACCUCUAUCAUCGUCCCAAGUCACUAGAAGAAGGGGAAACUUGAUUGUAGCUGUAAAAAGAAGGAGAUUUUUGGAAUUAGGUGGUAUAUCAGGUAAGUAAAUAACGUUCCCUGUAAGUCAAAAAUGAGGAUGAUUUUUGUCUGAAUAAAUAAAUAGAACUUUUCUCGAGGAAAUUUUAUGUUUAUACAUAUAUAUUAUGGAGCCUUGAAAUGUUUGCAUUGAAGAAUGUACCUGGUUUCAUAGGAUUUAAAUUUAUUAGCUUAUAUUUUCAUUUGGUUAUUUGUUUUCCAAAACACAUUAUUCAUGCAUGGAUUGAACAAUCUACCAAUGGGAAGAUCUAGUAGGCAUUAAUAAUUUGUGAACAAAUUGAGCUACAAAUAUAUUUUCCUUCCAUGUAUGCCAGAAAUGUUUUAUAGGACUGAAUACAGAAUGCUGGUUGCUAACGACAGUUUCAUUAGCCCUUGGCGCGCUAUGGCACACCUAGCUAGCAGGGUAUAUGGGAGAUGCUAGCCCCGUGUGUCGGCCAACACACGUGGAAUGGAGGAUAUAAUUUCAUAGAUAUAAUCCACGCCUGUUAUUCAUGAGCUUUAUGCUUGCGCCUGUUUUUUGUAGUUUCUAACUACGCCGGAUGUUACUUGCCCUUGUGGACUGUGUGUCCACACCUGUUAUUCGUUCUAUUUAAGUCCUAACAGAAAACCAAUUUUCCAAAUUGUUUACCUUUAAGAACUAGUAUCGUUGUAAAAAUAAAGAUUUACACAUGGUUUUUAUUGAUUUGGAAAAAACUUAUGAUCGUAUACCAAGAGAAGUGCUUUGGAAAGCGUUGGAAAAAAAGGGAGUACGGAUUGCUUAUAUUAAAGCCAUACAAGAUAUGUAUGAAGGGGUAAAAACUAGUAUAAGAACGCCUAGUGGUCAAACAAAGGAUUUUCCUAUAAAGAUUGGACUUCAUCAAGGAUCAUCUCUGAGUCCUUAUCUGUUCAACUUGAUCCUACAUGUUUUGAUGGAACAUAUUCAAGGAGAAAUUUUCAAAUGUAUGUUCUUUGAGGAUGAUAUAGUUCUUAUAGCAGAGACAAGAGAAGAGGUUAAUUGCAAACUUGAGUUAUGGAGGAGGACAUUAAAGUCGAAAGGUUUCCGUCUGAGUAGGAGUAAGACGGAAUAUUUAUAUUAUAAAUUUGGUAAGAGACUAUUUGACAAUAAUUUGGAAGUAAAAUUGGGAGAUCAAAUUAUACCUCAAGUGGAAAAGUUUAGAUAUUUGGGAGCCAUUAUUCAAAAUGAUGGUGAAAUCAGUGGAGAUAUUUCACAUAGGAUUCAAGCUGGGUGGUUUAAUUGGAGAAAAGCUAAAGGAGUUAUUUGUGACCGUAAGGUGCCUAAUAAACUUAAAGGAAAGUUUUAUCGCACUGCUAUCAGACCGGCAAUGUUAUAUAGUAGUGAAUGUUGGGCUCUAACAGGACAAUAAGAGUAUAAAGUUGGAGUAGCAGAGAUGAGAAUGUUACGAUGGAUGUGUGGACAUACACGUAAAGAUAAAAUUCGAAAUGAGCACAUACGCGAAAAAGUGAGGGUAGCACCUAUUGAGGAAAAAAUGGUAGAAAAUCGGUUGAGAUGGUUUGAGCAUGUACAAAGAAGACCAAGGGAGGCACCAGUGAGAAGAGUGGAACAUAUAACUUUGAGUCUGAUUAAGAGGGGUAGAGGAAAGCCUAAGAGAACACUCUUAGAAGUUGUUAAACACGAUCUCUUAAUUAAUAAUAUUCCUAAAAGCUUGAUAAAUGAUAGAGCACAAUAGCGUCUUGCAAUCCAUGUAGUCGACCCCACCUAGUGGGAUAAAGGCUUGUUGUUGUUGUUGUUGUUUACCUUUAAGAACUGUAUCGCUAUGAUUUGUUUUAUAUAAAAGAUAAAAUUUUAAUUUAUUGAUCAUGAUUAUCUUUCCUCCUUUCUCUUUUAUUACUUAAUUAUCAUUACUUAUUUACUUGUUUAUUAUCUGGAAACGUUAUUCACUGAAAAAAUUUUGGUAUUCAGAUAGUGGGAGUGGACCUGUUCUUUAGUAGAUCUUGUGGGACUUCUUGAGACGAGGGAUAUUUUGUUGCUUCAAUUACAUAGUGGACGAGUGUAAAUAUCUAAAUAUUCUAUCUUUUUGUUCUAGAAUCGCUCCACGAAUCAUAUAGGUAGGAUCUUCAGUUAAAUUAUUUUGGGUUGUACAUAUAGUAUCGGAGUAGAACUCCGAAUGUUGCUUGGAUGUGUUUUUGGCAAGUUGUAGAAAUUUCAGGAAGUUCCACUUACAGUAGAGACUCUGUCGAAAUUUCUACAGCUAGUCCAAAUAUUUUAUAUUUAUUAAUAAUUAUUUAAGACAAAUGAGAAUUGUACGAAAAAUUAUAAUUAAUUUGAUAGAUGUAUUAAGGAAUUAGGCUUAUGGAAUAUGAGUUUUCUUAUAUUCCAUCUAAUCACACUUCAAAAGUUUGGGGUGUGACAAUGUAGACACCUCCAACCAAUUACAAUAUCAAAACUUCAUUAUAUGGGACCAGGCAGCAAAGUCAUUGUAACAAGUGGAGAUAGACAUGUUCUUAUAAGUGGAGGAGUUCAUGAAUUGCAUGAGGUCAAAGAAUUGAACAAUGGCGAAUCACUUAAAUUUUUCUGCUUUCAUGCUUUUAAGGAAGGUCAUCCCAAAAUGGGAUAUGAAAAGUUAUCAGCAUAGGCAGUUGAAUAUGCUAGGGGCCUUCGCUUAGCAUUGAAAGAUUUGGGUUCAUAUUUAAAUUCUAAAGAUAUAAAUAUAUGGGGAGAUGUUCUGAAAAAAAUCCAAAAGUACCCCUGUAAAGAAAUUCAAACUGUAUUGAGAGUGAGUUAUGAUGACCUAGAUGAUGAUGAUAAGAACAUAUUUUUAGACAUUGCAUUCUUUUUUGGAGGACAGAAAAGAGAUGAUAUUACAAGGGUGUUAGAUGCUUGUGGUUCCUACACGGAUUGUGGGAUAGAUAACCUUGUAAAUAAAUCUCUCAUAACAAUUUCAAGAGAUAACAAAAUAGAAAUUCAUGAUUUGCUACAAGAAAUGGCUGAAGAAAUAGUUCGUGAAGAGUCUAGAAAACAUCCUAGAAAUCGAAGCUGAUUAAAUGAUGCUGGGGAAAUUCAUGAUGUACUAGAAAAUAGCAUGGGAACUUAUAGAGUUGAAGGCAUUAAAUGGGCUGGAGGCAAAAUUAAAAACCCAUUGUCCUUGGAUGCAGAUGCUUUGAAAAGGAUGGCAAAUCUAAGAUUACUGCAUAUCAAUUGUGAAAUUUACCUUCCUAUGGAUUUGAAGCUACCUUCUAAGAAACUAAGGAUCUUAUGAAUUUGAGGAUCUUAAAUGUCAGAUCCACUGAGUUGGAGGAGUUACCUGAUUUAUCGAUGGCAUCUAAUCUCGAAAUAGUGAGCCUAAAUGGUUGUCGUAAUUUGCGUAGUGUUCAUUCAUCUAUAUUAUCUCUCCCGAAACUUGUUUCUUUGGACCUAAGUUGGUGCUGCCGACUAAGGAGUCUUCAAAGUGAGAAUCACCGCUCACAAUCUCUCAAGCAUCUCGAGCUGCUAGGCUGCAAUGGUCUCAAGGAACUUUGGUUGUCAUCAGCAGAAAUGAGAGUUUUAAAUUUAAGAACUACGAGUAUCAAAAUGUUGAUAUUGCCCAAUGGAGGGUUCAAUAAACUUGAAGAGCUGUAUCUUGGUAGUACCUUGCUCAGGAGCUUUCAAAUAAAUGAGUGUUGCUUGACAUCACUUAAAAUACUUUCUUUUCAUGGUAUGAAAGAGGAAAUAAUGAAAGGAAACUAUGCAUGCUGUUUGAUGGCUUAUGUUCUUUAGAAGAAUUGGAUUUGAUGUCUCUGCAGGUUUCUGAGAUCCCAGACAAUAUCAGUGCCAUGUCAAUGUUGAAGUCUCUAUCACUAAAAGGAAGCAGUGUGGAGAGUUUGCCUACUAGCAUCAAGCAUCUUUCGAAGCUGAAAAAAAAAUUGCUUUGAGAAAUUGCAGGAGGGUCAGGUCCUUACCAGCACUUCCGUCUUUCAUUACUGAGUUGGAUGUCAGCAAGUGCAUAUAUUUAGAGACUAUCGAGUUCAGCCCAACAAGUUGGAUGUUAGAACCCUGUUAUGAAGCGAGAUUAUUGUUUUCUUUUGAAAAUUGUUGUGUCCUGGGAUUGGAUAAUCGUGAUAUCACAGCAUUUGUUCAUUUCUCACUAAUGCGAGCAAUACAUAACAAUUUCUGUUGUGCUAAAGUUUGUUACCCAGGAAGGACAAUUCCAGCGUGGUUCAGAUACACUCAGAUGACAGAAUCUUCAAUUAAAAUUGAACUUGUUCCUACUUCUCCAAACCAUUUAUUGGGUUUUCUAUGUUGCUGCAUUCUUCCUCGGUAUACCUUGGACAUUGAGGACAGCUUCUCAUUGUACAGGAUGUUCGACUAUAAACAUCAAGAGAUCAAAGAUAGGACAAAAUUAGUGUCUGAUCUAAGCUAUGAAUUGAUGCAAGAUCAUGUUUUUCUGUGGUACGAACCUUUGGUAAGCACAUCAAAGGGUACUCAGAGAUGAGAAGAUGAUGAGGGCACCACUUCUAAGUUUGAGUUUAAAUUCUAUAUUGUUUUAAAAUACUACGAUUUUGAUUCUAGAGUGACGACUGAGACUGAUAGAAGUAACAUCACAGAUCGGUGUGGAAUUUGCCCCACAUAUGCCUCAGAACGUCACAACAUAGUUCAGAAAAUGGAAUUGUAGUGGAAGGAGGGUACAAAAAGGAAAAGCCUUAUAAUUGCAAUGAUUGACUAAACAAUAUUAGAACUUGAAUUGGUGCCCUGCUUAUGAGAAGAUAGAGCAGCUGGAAUUUUGCACACAGGACGAAAGAAAAGCUCUGCUUAUAAGUACUGUGUAUAUAUCUUUUUAUUAUACAUACAGUACACAGGAUAAAAGAAAAGCUCCCCUGAUAAAAUCUGUUAGUUACGGGUAUCCUUCUUUCCCUUUUUCAAGUAUGACAAAAUGUUGUCAGCAUAAUGAAUUGGUGCUUUGAUUUGAUGGGAAGAAUGAAUAAAUAUUGUCAUUCUCCUAUAAAUAAUAUUCAUUCUGUACUACUUUUGAAUAGAGUGAAUGCUUACUAUAUCUAAUCCUAUUGAUACACCUUUUAUAUUUCUGUUACUCAAAAUUAGAGACAGAUUCCUUUUCAAUUCUGUUGAUAUGAGCAGGUUUCUAUUCAGAGGACUUCAAUGUUAUUUCUCCCCUAGCAAACUCCAAUCAUGUAGCUGUACAGGUCAUAAUGCUUUCAGUCUAAUUGUUUCUUUGGGGGCCUAGUACACUUGAUUCGACGUUCUCAUUUCAGUGGUUUCCCAACAAGCCAAUAUUCUCCCAGCUACAUCAGCACCUUUGAAACCCAAGAAGUAGUGCAGUGGCAAAGGAUUUCACUGAGUCAAGAUAGUCUUGCUUAAUUCUUCCCUGAAAUCACCCUUAGGGGUGUUUUCCCCAUGCGGUUUCUUCACUCAAUUUCUUGGUUUUCCACUUGAUUGUUUUUGUUCAUGGUUUCUUGGGACUUCAAGAUUUGCUGUCUGCCUCACUUUGAUUUGAAGUUUCUUA